AUUAUGAAAGACAUAUGAAGGGGAAGAUAACCCGAGAGAUUUUGUUAUUCCUCUUUGCCAAGGGAAACCCCUUCUUCUACUACAACUGUGAAAACAGACUGACAAGAAUAUUGGGAGCAGGAAAAUAUAAGAGAAAAGAGGCCAGCUUGUCGGUAGUUAUUCAACAUUUUUCACCCCUAUGAUCCAGUAGCAUACAGGUUUCAUAAGAUUUCAGUCCCAAUGAAGUAUCCAUAGUAUAGUGAUUAAAUGAGUACCGUAGUCACUAAUGAACCUUGUAAUUUAAUUUCUUACUAUCAGUUUAUUUGUACAAUAUUCCUUUGAUUGUUUCGGUGCCCUGAUUCUUUUUGUUUACUAAAUUCAUACCGUGUAUGGAGCAACCAUUCUAAUGUAUGGAUUAUGAUAAAUAGAUAUUCAUACAAUAAUUUUUAGCAGCAUAGGACACUACUUUUUCCUCUGUAUCUAUCUCUAUGAUAUCACAAAUAACAUGUAAUACUUUUCUCUCC